UACGUAGGGGGCAAGCGUUGUCCGGAAUCAUUGGGCGUAAAGCGCGUGUAGGCGGGUCGGUAAGUCCGCUCUGAAAGCCCGGGGCUCAACCCCGGGAGGCGGGUGGAUACUGUCGACCUCGAGUCCGGAAGAGGCGAGUGGAAUUCCUGGUGUAGCGGUGAAAUGCGCAGAUACCAGGAGGAACACCAAUGGCGAAGGCAGCUCGCUGGGACGGUACUGACGCUGAGACGCGAAAGCGUGGGGAGCAAACAGG
rnacentral:rRNA from 1 species